CGAUUAGAGUAAAAAUCAAUUAAAUGAUUUAUCUAUUAGCAAAAUAUUUAUUUACUUUUUUUAUAUUUUUUAUAAUCUAUUUCCAUAAAAUUAUUAUUAAAAAAACAAACGUGAUGUGUUAGCGAAUAAAAAUUAUUCAUUUAUCAUUUUACAAUAAUACGGUACAGCACGCGUCGUUUAUUAUUGUGCUAGUCGUUUUGCUUCAGCCAAAGUGACGCUUGUUUUACAGAGUUUCCAUAUGUGAAUCACCAUACAAUAAUAAAGUAAAUUUGGACAAAAAAAAUAAAUAAGUUUUUCUAUAAGACAGUCAAUGCGCAAAUGAAAUAAAAAUAUACAAUCAGACCAACUAGAGAGAACAGUCAAGAGACACGUGAUUAUCGUUUAUUUUAAUACUCAAGCAUCGGGAGACUUCAGAAAUGUAAGAUUGAAAUGAUUUUUCCUACGUGAAAAAAAAAAAAAAUUAAACACUACGAACAUAUCAUAUUAUCAACAAAAUAAAUAGUGAUAAAUUAAAUGAUUUUUUAGUAUUCGCUAGUAAAUAUUGUAUAUUUCGAAUAACGAAUUUUUUUUUAAUUAUAAAAGAAAAUAAUGCUUCUACACAAUAUAUAUUACACGUGUAAGACACGGGCGGUGGAGAGCGAUGAAAUCACAGUCGAACAAUAAUGUUUUAUCAAUGCUUAAAAAAUUGGACUGUAAAUUAUUUAUUCAGAUGACAUGAAAUUAUACAUGAAUACAUUCAAUCGAACAAGUUUCAAAGAACUUUCCAAUACAUUGCAUGCAAACGAUCGAAUCAUAGGAAUAGGAUCCACAACGACUUACAAGUAAUAUUAUUAUAUAUAAUACUUAUAUAACAUUCACGGUACUCUUAUUAUGAUCAAUUCAAGUGAUAGAAGAAUAAUAAUUGAAUCUACCGAUGGAAAAUUUUAUCAGGACUGAGUAAUUUUUUUACGCUACUCGUAAAUUUUCCUAUGCGUUCAAUAGACGUUUUAUCAAUAGAAAUAUUCUCCACUUUACUGAACACUUUAAAAACAGCCGAAAUUGAAGUUUUUAGACUUAUGUAGUACAAGUUUGAUAUUGCCAACAUAGAUGAAAAAAAUUGAGUGUUUUUAGGAAAUUAUUUUGUAAUUAUAGGAUAAUAAUGAGAUUAUAAUCACAUAUGAAUUCAUAAAAAGUAUAAUAGGGUCAUACCACGGUUGAACUUAACGUUUGUGCCAACAUGUGUUAACCCUUAGUUCAGGACAAUGUAUUCUGACUUAUGAAAACAUGAAAAAAAUGCACUACGUGAUGUUUGAAAUGUACACCAUAAGCUGCAAUAGAUUUUAAGAGGUAUGAACAAAACGAAAUAUUAUAAAAGAUAGAUGUAUUGUAUACACAGUAAUAAAAAAAAAUCACAAGCAAAUAUAGAUAAGACGCUAGUUGGACGAAGCGGCGCCCUUUACACUCUAUAUAUGAUCACAGGUGUGUUAUAUAUAUAACACACUUACAAUUAAAUUCUCGUAAAAUUUCAUACACAAUUAUCGAGUGUACGUUUUGCACUUGAGCUGAUACAAUAUCCAACUUUGUUAACGUGAGACGGGAAGAUGAUAACCGCCGUGAAUAGCGCGAGAAAAUAUUACUAUAUGUCCAUAACUAAAUUAUUACAUGGAAAAAGGCGGACGAUAAAUAUUAAUGUCGCAGCUUUAACAGUGCGCAUCCAUUUGUAUAUAUAGGUAUUAUACAAACAUUUCCACCAUUUUCUUUUCGAGAAAAAAUAUUUUCGUUUCAUGUGUAAUUUUUGUACACAAAAUUUGUCUGUUUUGGAUCGUCAAAAACCGGUUUCAAGGACAUCGAAGAAACUCAUGAAAUAGUUUUUUUUAUUUUGAAUAAAUGACAAUUUUCAUUUAAGUAGCGGUCGUAUCAAAUAAAAUCAGACUGACAAAAAAAAUAAAUAAAUAAAUAAAAAAGAACUAUCGUUUCAAAAUGAAUUUUGCUCGCAGUGUUCACCAAAAGAAAUUUGAAAAAAAAGUAGACGUUUUUUUUUAACUUUUACCUGUUUAGAAAAUAGAAUUUUUUUAGAAAAAGCUAACUAAACACGAUGAUAUUAAGACCCUGACCUUGGAUACUACACACGCACGCACGCACACCACAAUUCCAGUAAUCAUGCAAAAUGUAAGCUCUGACCAUCCGAAACAAUUGUGAACGGGGGCGGCAUAUUACAGGACACUAUAUCGUUACAUUGUUUCCACUGAUUAUGUUUGCUAUUCCUCUUUUGUUCUAUUCAAACACAAGCAAAUAAUAAUACCAGAAUGACAUACAACUUCCGUUAAAUAAAAAUUGCAAAUUAACUACUAACACAAAGCUUAAACCUAUUUAUUGUUUGUUUUCAAAUGAAAAAAAUUGUAACUAAACGGGAAAUAUUGCUCUCCUUUAUAACAUCAAACUGUCAAACUAUACACUACAUAUAUACAAAAAAAAUUACAAUCUGUACUUUGUGGUGGUGCUUUUAAUUUCCUUCCGGUGAGCCGACGGUUCGCUAUCGCGGGGGUGGCGACGUUGCCGGAUGCUGUUACUACCCGGAAACAUUUUAACAUUGUGCAGCAGUAUUCAGAUGGUACAGAUUGUGUCAUGAAUUAAUAUUUUAAGAAAAUGUUUGAUUGAUUUAAUUAAAUUUUUAAUUAAUACCAUAUUUAAUCAAAAGCAAAAUUAUACGACCUAUUGGGAAAAAAUGGUCAUAUUUUUAAAUUGUAUAUUUAAAAACGAACUUUUUUUUUUUACAAGAAAAUUUAUUAUUUUAUUUUUAGAGUAAAUGGAUUUGGCAUUAUAGACUAGCAUUUUGUGAGUAUGCCAAUAAUUGUGGUUUUAUCCCGCAAAACAUUUUAUUAUCAAAAUGUACUUAUAAAAAUUGUGUAAUAAAACGCAUUCAAACAUUAAGAAUUUAAUUAUUUCAUCUAUAAUAGCUGAACAACUA